rfam:Medicago truncatula strain A17 chromosome 1, whole genome shotgun sequence.
UGUUGAAGUUUUCGUCGGUAGUUAACUGCAGUCGGUUCCAUAACUCGGCAGUUAACUGCCGAGGGGCAU